rnacentral:rRNA from 1 species
UACAGAGGGUGCGAGCGUUGUUCGGAAUUACUGGGCGUAAAGCGCGCGCAGGCGGCUCUUUAAGUCUGACGGUGAAAUGCCGGGGCUCAACCCCGUGCCCGCCGCGGAUACUGGAGGGCUGGAGACACGUAGAGGCAAGCGGAAUUCUUGGUGUAGCGGUGAAAUGCGUAGAUAUCAAGAGGAACACCUGCGGCGAAGGCGGGUUGCUGGGCCGACACUGACGCUGAUGCGCGAAAGCUAGGGGAGCGAACGGG